rnacentral:rRNA from 1 species
GCGCACGUAGGCGGCUCCGUAAGUCUGGUGUGAAAUCUCACGGCUCAACCGGGAGGCUGCACCAGAUACUGCGGGGCUCGAGGACGGGAGAGGAGAUUGGAAUUCCCGGUGUAGCGGUGAAAUGCAUUGAUAUCGGGAGGAACACCAGUGGCGAAGGCGGAUCUCUGGCCCGUUGCUGACGCUGAGGUGCGAAAGCUGGGGGAGCGAACCGGAUUAGAUACCCGGGUAGUCCUAGCCGUAAACGAUGCUCACUAGGUGUGGGGGCGGAAGCCUCCGUGCUGAAGCUAACGCGAUAAGUGAGCCGCCUGGGGAGUACGCCCGCAAGGGUGAAACUCAAAGGAAUUGACGGGGGCCCGCACAAGCGGUGGAGCGUGUGGUUUAAUUGGAAGCUAAGCCAAGAACCUUACCAGGGCUUGACAUGCUGGUGGACCGAGCCGAAAGGUGAGGGCCCCGGAAGGGGAGCCAGCACAGGUGGUGCACGGUCGUCGUCAGCUCGUGCCGUGAGGUGUUGGGUUAAGUCCCGCAACGAGCGCAACCCCUGCCCUUAGUUGCCAGCGGUUCGCCGGGCACUCUAAGGGGACUGCCGGCGACGAGCCGGAGGAAGGAGGGGAUGACGUCAGAUACUCGUGCCCCUUAUGUCCUGGGCGACACACGCGCUACAAUGGGGUGGACAGCGGGAAGCGAGGCAGCGAUGCUGAGCAAAACCCUGAAAUCACCCCCCAGUUCAGAUUGUGGGCUGAAACCCGCCCACAU